rnacentral:rRNA from 1 species
CCUACGGGAGGCAGCAGUGAGGGAUAUUGGUCAAUGGGGGAAAGCCUGAACCAGCCACGCCGCGUGAGGGAAGACGGUUCUCGGAUUGGUAACCUCUGUUCUCUGUGAAGAUAAUGACGGUAGCAGUGGAGGAAGCUACGGAUAACAACGUGACGGCAGCCGUGGCAAUACGUAGGGAGCAAGCGUUGUCCGGAUUUACUGGGUGUAAUGGGUGCGUAGGCGGGCUUGCAAGUCAGAAGUGAAAUCUAUGGGCUUAACCUAUAAACUGCUUUUGAAACUGUAAGUCUUGAGUGAAGUAGAGGUAGGCGGAAUUCGCGGUGUAGCGGUGAAAUGCGUAGAGAUUGGGAAGAACACCGGUGGCGAAGGCAGCCUACUGGGCUUUAACUGACGCUGAGGCACGAAAGCGUGGGUAGCAAACAGGAUUAGAUACCCUUGUAGUC